rnacentral:rRNA from 1 species
CCUACGGGAGGCAGCAGUGGGGAAUUUUCCGCAAUGGGCGAAAGCCUGACGGAGCAAUACCGCGUGAGGGAGGAAGGCUCUUGGGUCGUAAACCUCUUUUCUCAGGGAAGAAAAAAUGACGGUACCUGAGGAAUAAGCAUCGGCUAACUCCGUGCCAGCAGCCGCGGUAAUACGGAGGAUGCAAGCGUUAUCCGGAAUGAUUGGGCGUAAAGCGUCCGCAGGUGGCGAUGAAAGUCUGCUGUUAAAGAGUCUAGCUCAACUAGAUAAGAGCAGUGGAAACUACAUAGCUAGAGUACGUUCGGGGCAGAGGGAAUUCCUGGUGUAGCGGUGAAAUGCGUAGAGAUCAGGAAGAACACCGGUGGCGAAGGCGCUCUGCUAGGCCGUAACUGACACUGAGGGACGAAAGCUAGGGGAGCGAAUGGGAUUAGAUACCCCAGUAGUCCUAGCCGUAAACGAUGGAUACUAGGCGUGGCUUGUAUCGACCCGAGCCGUGCCGUAGCUAACGCGUUAAGUAUCCCGCCUGGGGAGUACGCCGGCAACGGUGAAACUUAAGGAAUUGACGG